rnacentral:rRNA from 1 species
AAUGAACGCUGGCGGCAGGCCUAACACAUGCAAGUCGAACGAAGCCUUCGGGCUUAGUGGCGGACGGGUGAGUAACGCGUGGGAACGUGCCCCUUGGUACGGAAUAGCCCCGGGAAACUGGGAGUAAUACCGGAUAUGGUCGAGAGACGAAAGAUUUAUCGCCAAGGGAUCGGCCCGCGUUGGAUUAGGUAGUUGGUGGGGUAAUGGCCUACCAAGCCGACGAUCCAUAGCUGGUUUGAGAGGAUGAUCAGCCACACUGGGACUGAGACACGGCCCAGACUCCUACGGGAGGCAGCAGUGGGGAAUCUUAGACAAUGGGGGAAACCCUGAUCUAGCCAUGCCGCGUGAUCGAUGAAGGCCUUAGGGUUGUAAAGAUCUUUCAGAUGGGAAGAUAAUGACGGUACCAUCAGAAGAAGCCCCGGCUAACUCCGUGCCAGCCGCCGCAGUAACAC